UACGAAGGGGGCUAGCGUUGUUCGGAAUCACUGGGCGUAAAGCGCAUGCAGGCGGAUCGUUAAGUCGGGGGUGAAAGCCCUCGGCUCAACCGGGGAAGUGCACCCGAAACUGCAAAGCUAGAGUCUCGGAGAGGAUCGUGGAAUUCUCGGUGUAGAGGUGAAAUUCGUAGAUAUCGAGAGGAACACCGGUGGCGAAGGCGGCGAUCUGGACGAUGACUGACGCUGAGACGCGAAAGCGUGGGUAGCAAACAGG
rnacentral:rRNA from 1 species